rnacentral:rRNA from 1 species
AACGAACGCUGGCGGCAGGCCUAACACAUGCAAGUCGAACGGUUGUAGCAAUACAGCCGUGGCGCACGGGUGAGUAACGCGUGGGAAUCUGCCCAGUAGUACGGCAUAACAGUUGGAAACGACUGACAAUACCGUAUACGCCCUUCGGGGGAAAGUUUUUCGCUAUUGGAUGGGCCCGCGUCAGGUUAGCUAGUUGGUGGGGUAAUGGCCUACCAAGGCGACGAUCUGUAGCUGUUCUGAGAGGAAGACCAGCCACACUGGAACUGAGACACGGUCCAGCCUCCUACGGGAGGCAGCAGUGGGGAAUAUUGGACAAGGGGCGAAAGCCUGAUCCAGCCAUGCCGCGUGAGUGAUGAAGGCCUUAGGGUUGUAAAGCUCUUUUGGCGGGGAAGAUAAUGACGGUACCCGCAGAAUAAGUUCCGGCUAACUUCGUGCCAGCAGCCGCGGUAA